rnacentral:rRNA from 1 species
UAAACUGGAGAGUUUGAUCCUGGCUCAGAACGAACGCUGGCGGCGUGCUUAACACAUGCAAGUCGAACGAGAAAGAGUUCUUCGGAACUUGAGUAAAGUGGCGCACGGGUGAGUAACGCGUAGAUAACCUGCCCUGAUGUCUGGGAUAACCCUUCGAAAGGGGGACUAAUACCGGAUAACCUGAGUAACCAUAAGGUUACCCAGGAAAGAUGGCCUCUGAUGUAAGCUAUCGCAUUUGGAGGGGUCUGCGUACCAUUAGCUUGUUGGUGGGGUAAUGGCCUACCAAGGCAACGAUGGUUAGCGGGUCUGAGAGGAUGAUCCGUCACACUGGCACUGAAACACGGGCCAGACUCCUACGGGAGGCAGCAGUGAGGAAUAUUGCGCAAUGGGGGAAACCCUGACGCAGCGACGCCGCGUGAGUGAGGAAGGCCUUCGGGUCGUAAAGCUCUGUCAGAAGGGAAGAAGUGUG